rnacentral:rRNA from 1 species
AACGUAGGAGACGAACGUUAUCCGGAGUUACUGGGCGUAAAGGGCGUGUAGGCGGUUUGUUAAGUCUGGCGUGAAAGCUCUCGGCUAAACCGGGAGAGGUCGUUGGAUACUGGCGAACUAGAGGAUGGUAGAGGCGUGUGGAAUUCCGGGUGUAGUGGUGAAAUGCGUAGAUAUCCGGAGGAACACCGGUGGCGAAGGCGGCUUCCUGGACCGACACUGACGCUGAGGCGCGAAAGCUAGGGGAGCAAACGGG